CGGAGGUGAUGUCAAACACCACCCUGACCCCCUGUGGAGGCAAAAGACUGAUUUAAUGAGGCUGAUCC